GGGGAAUUAGCUCAAAUGGUAGAGCGCUUGCUUAGCAUGUGAGAGGUAGCAGGAUUGAUGCCUGCAUCCUCCA
rfam:Cathartes aura contig12338, whole genome shotgun sequence.